CGUACACUCCUACGGGAGGCAGCAGUGGGGAAUAUUGGACAAUGGGCGCAAGCCUGAUCCAGCCAUGCCGCGUGAGUGAUGAAGGCCCUAGGGUUGUAAAGCUCUUUCACCGGUGAAGAUAAUGACGGUAACCGGAGAAGAAGCCCCGGCUAACUUCGUGCCAGCAGCCGCGGUAAUACGAAGGGGGCUAGCGUUGUUCGGAUUUACUGGGCGUAAAGCGCACGUAGGCGGACUAUUAAGUCAGGGGUGAAAUCCCGGGGCUCAACCCCGGAACUGCCUUUGAUACUGGUAGUCUUGAGUUCGAGAGAGGUGAGUGGAAUUCCGAGUGUAGAGGUGAAAUUCGUAGAUAUUCGGAGGAACACCAGUGGCGAAGGCGGCUCACUGGCUCGAUACUGACGCUGAGGUGCGAAAGCGUGGGGAGCAAACAGGAUUAGAAACCCCUGUAGUCCC
rnacentral:rRNA from 1 species